rnacentral:miRNA from 1 species
UAUGAGAAAAAGCCAUGCC